rnacentral:snoRNA from 1 species
AGGUCAAUGAGACCUGUUUUUGCCAUGAGGAGUUAUAUUGACAUAACAAUUAUACUCAAUUGGAAUACACUAAUCCU